UAGUGGCAGACGGGUGAGUAAUGUAUAGGAAUCUACCUAGUAGUACGGAAUAAUUGUUGGAAACGGCAACUAAUACCGUAUACGCCCUACGGGGGAAAAAUUUAUUGCUAUUAGAUGAGCCUAUAUUAGAUUAGCUAGUUGGUGGAGUAAUAGCCUACCAAGGCAAUGAUCUAUAGCUGAUCUGAGAGGAUAAUCAGCCACACUGGAACUGAGAUACGGUCCAGACUCCUACGGGAGGCAGCAGUGGGGAAUAUUGGACAAUGGGCGAAAGCCUGAUCCAGCCAUGCCGCAUGAGUGAAGAAGGCCUUUGGGUUGUAAAGCUCUUUUAGUGAGGAAGAUAAUGACGGUACUCACAGAAGAAGUCCUGGCUAACUCCGUGCCAGCAGCCGCGGUAAUACGGAGAGGGCUAGCGUUAUUCGGAAUCAUUGGGCGUAAAGGGCGCGUAGGCGGAUUAGUAAGUUAAAAGUGAAAUCCCAAGGCUCAACCUUGGAAUUGCUUUUAAAACUGCUAGUCUAGAGAUUGAAAGAGGAUAGAGGAAUUCCUAGUGUAGAGGUGAAAUUCGUAAAUAUUAGGAGGAACACCAGUGGCGAAGGCGUCUAUCUGGUUCAAAUCUGACGCUGAGGCGCGAAGGCGUGGGGAGCAAACAGGAUUAGAUACCCUGGUAGUCCACGCUGUAAACGAUGAAUGUUAAAUAUGGGAAGUUUACUUUCUGUAUUACAGCUAACGCGUUAAACAUUCCGCCUGGGGACUACGGUCGCAAGAUUAAAACUCAAAGGAAUUGACGGGGACCCGCACAAGCGGUGGAGCAUGUGGUUUAAUUCGAUGCAACGCGAAAAACCUUACCACUCCUUG
rnacentral:rRNA from 1 species